rnacentral:rRNA from 1 species
AUUGAACGCUGGCGGAAUGCUUUACACAUGCAAGUCGAACGGUAGAGGGGGCAACCCCUCGAGAGUGGCGAACGGGUGAGUAAUAUAUCGGAACGUGCCCAGUCGUGGGGGUUAACGUAGCGAAAGUUGCGCUAAUACCGCAUACGAUCUAAGGAUGAAAGCGGGGGAUCGCAAGACCUCGCGCGAUUGGAGCGGCCGAUAUCAGAUUAGGUAGUUGGUGGGGUAAAGGCUCACCAAGCCAACGAUCUGUAGCUGGUCUGAGAGGACGACCAGCCACACUGGAACUGAGACACGGUCCAGACUCCUACGGGAGGCAGCAGUGGGGAAUUUUGGACAAUGGACGCAAGUCUGAUCCAGCCAUUCCGCGUGCAGGAUGAAGGCCCUCGGGUUGUAAACUGCUUUUGUACGGAACGAAAAGGUCUCUCUUAAUACGGGGGACUCAUGACGGUACCGUAAGAAUAAGCACCGGCUAACUACGUGCCAGCAGCCGCGGUAA